rnacentral:rRNA from 1 species
AUGGCGGCCGGGCGAGCGUGUGCUCUUAGCGCGGUGCUGGUGGUGGUGGUGGCGCCGCUCCUCCUGGCCGGCGCGGCGGACGCCGACUGCUUCGAUUACUGCUUCAAGGACUGCAUCGCCAAGGACAAGAACAUGAUCGACUACUGCAACUACGCCUGCGACAAGACCUGCUACGCGGGCGCGCCCCAGCGGCCCUUGGCGGCGGCUGCCGCCUCCGGCGACAUGGGAUGCCAGCUCUCCUGCGCCAGGACUUCCUGCCACCGUCUGGAUCCAGACCGCGAGGCCACUGGGGCCUGCUUCGGGCAGUGCUACGACGGCUGCAAGACCAAGACUCUGCCGAGGCCUCUCCGCGCCGGCGCCGGCAUGCCCACCACGUCAGGCCCGGUGGUCGCCGACCUUCCUUCAUCCGAGCCGGACCCAGAUGACGCCUUUCCUUCAUCCGAGCCGGACCCAGAUGACGCCCUUCCUUCAUCCGAGCCGGACCCAGAUGAUGCGGUCCGUGCGUCGUCAGAGGCGCCGGAACAUCAGGCGAUGGGGCCACGUACACCGUUAUCGGAGAUCCACGCUGCUCCUCCGGCGUCUGCGUGA